rnacentral:lncRNA from 1 species
GAUUUCACCGUAGAUACAUGGAGAUAUUAAUGAGAGAGAGGGAACUGGAGGCAGAAGUCGAAAGUUUAAGGUGCUCCCUGGCGAGGGUCGAAGCCGAAAGUUCGAGGUCGGAGGAAGCCGGGCCCCCUUAGGGCUCUUUUUGCCUUCCGUCUUCCCAUGCAUAUAUUAUUUCUUUUGUUGUUUUGUCUUGUUCUUGUUGUUUUGCUUUUCUUCCUUUAGCCUGUCGGGCUUUGUAGUGUAUAUUUUGUGAAUGAAAUGAAAAGGAGAUUUUGUGUUACCUCAUCCACGUAUUGCAUUAAAUUAUCGUCCGCCGAACUUCUUUUGUCUU